UAGGGAAUCUUCGGCAAUGGGGGCAACCCUGACCGAGCAACGCCGCGUGAGUGAAGAAGGUUUUCGGAUCGUAAAGCUCUGUUGUAAGAGAAGAACGAGUGUGAGAGUGGAAAGUUCACACUGUGACGGUAACUUACCAGAAAGGGACGGCUAACUACGUGCCAGCAGCCGCGGUAAUACGUAGGUCCCGAGCGUUAUCCGGAUUUAUUGGGCGUAAAGCGAGCGCAGGCGGUUAGAUAAGUCUGAAGUUAAAGGCUGUGGCUUAACCAUAGUACGCUUUGGAAACUGUUUAACUUGAGUGCAGAAGGGGAGAGUGGAAUUCCAUGUGUAGCGGUGAAAUGCGUAGAUAUAUGGAGGAACACCGGUGGCGAAAGCGACUCUCUGGUCUGUAACUGACGCUGAGGCUCGAAAGCGUGGGGAGCAAACAGGAUUAGAUACCCUGGUAGUCCACGCCAUAAACGAUGAGUGCUAGGUGUUGGGUCCUUUCCGGGACUCAGUGCCGCAGCUAACGCAUUAAGCACUCCGCCUGGGGAGUACGACCGCAAGGUUG
rnacentral:rRNA from 1 species